AGUAACACGUGAGGAACCUGCCCUGGAGACCGGGAUAACUCCCCGAAAGGGGUGCUAAUACCGGAUGUCCUCAUCGGACCGCAUGGUCUGAUGAGGAAAUGGAUUCCGCUCCAGGAGGGCCUCGCGGCCUAUCAGCUUGUUGGUGAGGUAACGGCUCACCAAGGCGUCGACGGGUAGCUGGUCUGAGAGGACGAUCAGCCACACUGGGACUGAGACACGGCCCAG
rnacentral:rRNA from 1 species